AGUGAACGCUGGCGGCGUGCUUAACACAUGCAAGUCGAGCGAAUUUCGGCAGCGUAUCGUCGGAGUUAGCGGCAGACGGGUGAGUAAUACUUGGGUAAUCUACCCUUGAGGGGGAAACAACCUGCCGAAAGGUGGGCUAAUGUCCCAUAAGACCACAAGACGGCAUCGUCCAGGGGUCAAAGCUCCGCAAGGGGCGCUUAUGGAGGAGCCCGAGUCCUAUCAUGGUAGUUGGUGAGGUAACGGCUCACCAAGCCUUUGACGGGUAGCCGGCCUGAAAGGGUGAUCGGCCACACUGGAGCUGAGACACGGUCCAGACUCCUACGGGAGGCAGCAGUGGGGAAUUUUGGACAAUGGGGGCAACCCUGAUCCAGCCAUGCCGCGUGAGUGAAGAAGGCCUUCGGGUUGUAAAGCUCUUUCGGCCGGGAAGAAAUCGUAUGGGUUAAUACCCUGUGCGGAUGACGGUACCGGCAUAAGAAGCACCGGCUAACUACGUGCCAGCAGCCGCAGUAA
rnacentral:rRNA from 1 species